UACGUAGGGGGCGAGCGUUGUCCGGAGUUACUGGGCGUAAAGCGCACGCAGGCGGUCUGCUAAGUUUGGAGUGACAGUUGGUGGCUUAACUGCCAAAGUGCUUCGAAAACUGACAGACUUGAGGGCUUCAGAGGGACACGGAAUUCCGGGUGGAGUGGUGAAAUGCGUAGAGAUCCGGAAGAACACCAGUGGCGAUGGCGGCCCGCUGGGCAGUGGCUGACGCUGAGGCGCGACAGCGUGGGGAGCAAACAGG
rnacentral:rRNA from 1 species